AUACGGAGGGUGCAAGCGUUAAUCGGAAUUACUGGGCGUAAAGCGUACGUAGGCGGUUCGUUAAGUUAGAUGUGCAAGCCCCGGGCUUAACCUGGGAACUGCAUUUAAAACUGGCGAACUAGAGUUGAGUAGAGGGGAGUGGAAUUUCAGGUGUAGCGGUGAAAUGCGUAGAGAUCUGAAGGAACACCAGUGGCGAAGGCGACUCCCUGGACUCGAACUGACGCUGAGGUACGAAAGCGUGGGUAGCAAACGGGAUUAGAAACCCUUGUAGUCC
rnacentral:rRNA from 1 species